rnacentral:lncRNA from 1 species
GUUAUGCAAAAAUUUUAAAUUAAAAUAAAAUUUAUAUAUUAAUUUAAUUAACUAAAUUUUAAUGGCUGAAUAUUCUAUCAUCAAAUUUAACACAAAUUUUAUAGUACUUAACAUAUUAGCACACUAUUUCAAGAUGAAUUCUGUAAGGAAUGUAAAAUUACGUACCAGUGGUCGUCCGCCACAUUCCUCGAAUGUUAACCUCGUUCAAUUUUUUUAUUGACUUUUUUUUUAUUAAUUUUGAUGAUUAGAAUUAACAAAUCAUUAUGUAAUUAAUAAUUUAUGGUUUAUAGAAAUAAUUAAUUUAUUGUCCAGCUUUAAGAAGAAAUUAGUUUUAUUUUCCAAAUAUUGUAUAAUAUAUUAAUGAAGCUUCAGUACAUAAAGGAGUCGUUGAGAGGCAGGGAGAUAGCCUCUAUUGUCGUAUGUCCGCGGCUGAGUGUGGUGUCUUCGUUGUACCGUCGUCCUACCUGUCUUUUUGAUGGACUUUGAGAAGGUGUUGUAUUUGUCUACUAUGCUGUCUCAUAGCUGGGCUAUCGACGUGACUGUAAAUAUAGAGGUUUUGUUAUUACAUUUUAAUGAUCAGUUGUAUCUACUAAUUUUGUUACAUCAAAUAAAAAGAAGUUACUUAAUUUUUGAAAAGCAUGGAAUUGUUGAAUGAUGCUCUUUGUGCAAUUCAUCACUGGUUAACGCAAUUGGAAUUAUCAGCGAGCGUUAAAAUCACGGUUCAACAGGGGGACCGAGUAGAAGGGCAACGGGGUCCGAAUCCAUGUAGAGGUAGGGGGCAACCCACUACCCUACAAUUCUAUCAAAAAUCUUUUUCAUUAGAACCAAACAUUUAUUUCAGAAAUUUAAAUACAGGACAAUUGAUUUAAUUAAUAACAUAUACAGAUAACCCUUGUAUAACACUGUAGUUAAAUUCCUGUAAACUUACCUGUAAUGCAAUUUACCUAACUAUAGUGUAAUGCAGUCUGUAUUAUACUAGAAUACAACACUUACAUGAAAUCUAACUACAAUGUAAAUGCAAAACUGUAUUAUCUAGGAUUAAGAAUCAGUACAAAAGAGGUGUGUUACAUUCUAAAGGCUGACAAAAAU